rnacentral:rRNA from 1 species
GUCGAGCGAUGAGGCUCCUUUGGGAGGACAUAAGCGGCGAACGGGUGAGUAACACGUAGGUGACUUGCGCCGAAGAUGGGGAUAACCUCUGGAAACGGGGGCUAAUACCCAAUGUGCUCGGUGAUUCGGUUGAUCGAGAGGACUCCGGCGCUUCGAUACAGGCCUGCGGCCCAUCAGCUACGUGGUUUCUAACGGCCUACCAAGGCAGAGACGGGUAGGGGGCGUGAGAGCGCGGACCCCCACACUGGCACUGCGACUCAGGCCAGACUCCUACUGCAGGCACCGGUAAGGAAUAUUGCUCAUUGGACAAAAGUCAGAGCCAGCGACGCCACGUGGGCGAGGAAGGCCUUCGGGUUGUAAAGCCCUUUUGUGGUGGACCAGAACAAGGACGGUACCCCAUGAAUAAGUCCCGGCUAACUACGUGCCGCCGCCGCCGUUAAUCUUAAGGGACAAGCGUUGUCCGGAUACAUUGUGCGUAACAAGCGUUGAGGCAGGUCCCUAAGUUGUGGGUGAUAGCUCCUGGCUUAUCCCGCAGAUGUCUUUCAAGACUGCUGGGCUAGAUGACUUCAAAAGAGGGUGGAAUUCCUCGUGUUGUGGUGACAUGCUUCUAUAUCGGGAGGAACAUCCGUCUGCGAAGUCGACACUUCUGGUGUGUUCACUGACGCUGAAGUAGAAAGCUAGGGGGAGCGAACGGGAUUAGAUACCCCAGUAGUCCUAGCCAUAAACGAUGGCUGCUGCGGUGUGGGGGGUGUAAAUUCUCUCUGUGCCGAAGCAUACGCGUUAAGCAUACCGCAUGGGGACUACGGCCGCAAGGCUCAAACUCAAGCGAAUCGACGGGGGCCCGCACAAGCAGCGGAGCGUGUGGUUUAAUUGGAUGACACACGAAGAACCUUACAUGGGUUUGACAUGCACAUGGUAGGGAACUGAAAGGGGACCGACCUUAGGGAGCAUGUACAGGUGCUGCAUGGCUGUCGUCAGAUCGUGCGUUGAGGUGUCGGGUUAAGUCCCCUAACGAGCACAACCCUUGCCAUUAGUUACAAGUGUCUAAGGGGACUGCCCGGGACAACUGGGAGGAAGGUGGGGAUGACGUCAAGUCAGCAUGGCCUUUAUAUCCAGGGCUACACACACGCUACAAUGGCCAGUACAAUAGGUAGCCAAGUUGUGAGAGGGAGCCAAUCCCAAAGCUGGUGUCAGUUGGAAUUACAGUAUGCAACUCGACUGCAUGAAGCUGGAGUUGCUAGUAAUUGCAGGUCAGCCAUACUGCGGUGAAUACGUUCCCGGGCCUUGUACACACCGCCCGUCACAUCACGGAAGCUGGCAACACACGAAGCCGGUGAGCUAACCCGAAAGGG